UUGGAGUGUCAAGUUAAGAGCUUGACUGAGCGACAGACAAGUGUCUCCCUUCUCGAUCUCCCGCAACUUGCCACAGGUAUGUGCUCCACCUGCUGAUUCAUGGCAGGGUAAAACCACAGCUUUGAGACCAGUUGCUAAGAAAAAAUGGACUUACAGGUGAUGGCGGCAACCAGGAAGCACGCAACGAAGAGCGGUGGCUUCAUCUCCAUCAUCCGUACAAGACAAAAGGUACGAAGUUUUAUCUUCCUCUCGUUCUUAAGUCGUGGAUUUUAUAGAGGUUUGUAAGCGAAUGCUGUUUUUUUGCAGGCGGCGGCCGUGAGAAUCUGGCAAUAGAGUAAGCGAGCUCGCGAAGCUGUUAAGUUGGAGAAGAGGAGAAGAGAGAAUCAUCUUGCGGAAGCAUUGAAUCUGGGCAGUGUUUUUUGCGACAAAGGUUCCAAAAACUGGGACGAUGGAUUGGUAAGAUUUUUGGAUCCACACUGUCUGUCCGCAGCUGUUCAAACACUGUGGGUUUGACAAGUGUUGGAUGUUCGUAGCGCUGCUGCUCAAUCCUUUUCUUCCUCCAGGUUUGUUGUAUUGUUUGCUUUGCUGAGGAAAAAACAAUUCGAUGAACUCCAAACUUCUUAAUGUUUAAUGUAUCCAGGAAUCCAUUUUAACACUAAUCAAGUAUAACAACACUUAAAAGCAAACUAAUCCAGGCUUUAAAAAACUAAUUUAAAAUCUAGUCAUCCAUUUAAACAACGCUUAGGUGAAAUUAAUCUGAUUAAAACAGAAUUAAUCCAGUUUAACUAAAUGCGAGCAUAUACCAGAGCUUGACAGAAAAUAUUCUUAUUU
rnacentral:lncRNA from 1 species